GACGAACGCUGGCGGCGUGCCUAAUACAUGCAAGUAGAACGCUGAAGAGAGGAGCUUGCUCUUCUUGGAUGAGUUGCGAACGGGUGAGUAACGCGUAGGUAACCUGCCUUGUAGCGGGGGAUAACUAUUGGAAACGAUAGCUAAUACCGCAUAACAAUGGAUGACCCAUGUCAUUUAUUUGAAAGGGGCAAAUGCUCCACUACAAGAUGGACCUGCGUUGUAUUAGCUAGUAGGUGAGGUAACGGCUCACCUAGGCGACGAUACAUAGCCGACCUGAGAGGGUGAUCGGCCACACUGGGACUGAGACACGGCCCAGACUCCUACGGGAGGCAGCAGUAGGGAAUCUUCGGCAAUGGGGGCAACCCUGACCGAGCAACGCCGCGUGAGUGAAGAAGGUUUUCGGAUCGUAAAGCUCUGUUGUAGGUCAAGAACGAGUGUGAGAGUGGAAAGUUCACACUGUGACGGUAGCUUACCAGAAAGGGACGGCUAACUACGUGCCAGCAGCCGCGGUAAUACGUAGGUCCCGAGCGUUGUCCGGAUUUAUUGGGCGUAAAGCGAGCGCAGGCGGUUUGAUAAGUCUGAAGUUAAAGGCUGUGGCUCAACCAUAGUUCGCUUUGGAAACUGUCAAACUUGAGUGCAGAAGGGGAGAGUGGAAUUCCAUGUGUAGCGGUGAAAUGCGUAGAUAUAUGGAGGAACACCGGUGGCGAAAGCGGCUCUCUGGUCUGUAACUGACGCUGAGGCUCGAAAGCGUGGGGAGCGAACAGGAUUAGAUACCCUGGUAGUCCACGCCGUAAACGAUGAGUGCUAGGUGUUGGAUCCUUUCCGGGAUUCAGUGCCGCAGCUAACGCAUUAAGCACUCCGCCUGGGGAGUACGACCGCAAGGUUGAAACUCAAAGGAAUUGACGGGGGCCCGCACAAGCGGUGGAGCAUGUGGUUUAAUUCGAAGCAACGCGAAGAACCUUACCAGGUCUUGACAUCCCGAUGCUAUUUCUAGAGAUAGAAAGUUACUUCGGUACAUCGGUGACAGGUGGUGCAUGGUUGUCGUCAGCUCGUGUCGUGAGAUGUUGGGUUAAGUCCCGCAACGAGCGCAACCCCUAUUGUUAGUUGCCAUCAUUCAGUUGGGCACUCUAGCGAGACUGCCGGUAAUAAACCGGAGGAAGGUGGGGAUGACGUCAAAUCAUCAUGCCCCUUAUGACCUGGGCUACACACGUGCUACAAUGGUUGGUACAACGAGUUGCGAGUCGGUGACGGCAAGCUAAUCUCUUAAAGCCAAUCUCAGUUCGGAUUGUAGGCUGCAACUCGCCUACAUGAAGUCGGAAUCGCUAGUAAUCGCGGAUCAGCACGCCGCGGUGAAUACGUUCCCGGGCCU
rnacentral:rRNA from 1 species